GCCGGGCGCGGUGGCGCGCGCCUGUAGUCCUAGCUACUCAGGAGGCUGAGGCAGGAGGAUCACUUGAGUCCAGGAGUUCUGGGCUGCAGUGCACUAUGCUGAUCAGGUGUCCGCACUAAGUUCGGCAUCAAUAUGGUGACCUCCCAGGAGCGGGGGACCACCAGGUUGCCUAAGGAGGGGUGAACCGGCCCAGGUCGGAAAUUUCUUCUCUUGGGAUGGGCUAAUGUAUAAUUUACUAACAAGUCAAAAAAUAGGGACUGAACUCUGUUAUUCCUCUGUCUUAU
rnacentral:sRNA from 1 species